AUGAACACUGAGUAAAUAUAAAGAAUUGCUGAUUUGUUAUACUGUACACCCGAAACUAAUAUAACACUAUACAUCAGUUAUACUUCAAUAAAAAAAUACAUCACUUCUAUUAUGAGAAAAAAAUGCUCAUGCUUAGCAUCCUACUAUGUUGAUCUAAUAACCAAGCAUUUUAUUCAUUAAACAAAUAUAUAUUUGACAUUAUUAGUCUUUCUUGUGAGGCAUUACAUUAUUAUGGAUACAAAUGACCCUUGUUAACACUCAUUGUUGGCUUUCUUGCUUAUUCUUUUGGUAUACUAAGGUCCCUAAUGAAGACUAAUUGUCCCCAUACAUUUUAUUUCACUUCUUCAUAAAUAAAAUAUUACCUCAGAGGCUAGAUAUCAUAAUUCAUCCAGAAUCUAUGGAUACACCGUUGGUGAAGCUUAAUCCUAAGGCUCACCUCACCGCCACACGAUAUUUGCACCACUACCCACAGUGUGCAAAAGUGUUUGCUCUUGCUAAAUGAAAAAUGCAGGGUAACUAUAAAGCAGAUCAUAUUAAAUUAGGAAUGAAUGAUUUGCAGAACUAGAGGUAAAUUCUUGCCCAAAAGUUGACCUGGUCGACCACGGUCCAAAGUUUUGUACCCAGAUUUAGACCUAAGAUAGUUGAAAUUCUUUCUCUAUUUAUUCCUUAAAGGAUUUUGAAGCUGGUUUCUUUGCUUGGCGAGUUUGGCUUUGUGAAACAGCCUCAUUUUCCUAAUACCUUCUAUCCUUCUUGGAUGUCAGGCUUGAUAGCAUUAGGGAGAUAAAUUAUGGUAACCAAACAUUUUUUUAACAAGUGUUAACUGAUGCUGUGUUACUAUGAUCUUUGCCUUCCCAUCCCAUCCCUGUCUUCUGGGUCUUUCGGCAUCAUUCCUCAACGCUGCGAGCUCUACAGGUGGCAUCAGAGACAGCGGAGGACUUGCAAACGAGCUGGGCACUUUCCUGGGGACUCUUCCUUACAGCAGCUGCUCCAGAAUGAGGCCAGCCAUCUGUCUCCUAAUUCUGAAAAGAUUCCGACAAAUUUCCUGCACCAGAGAACUGGUUGUGGCAUGAGACCUGGAGCCUGCAGUCUGGCCCAGUGAACACAGAAUAUCUUCUCUUGAGAAGACCCAGGAAAUUAACUCUGUUCCGUCUGCAUCAUGAACUAGUCAGCAGAGACUCUGACCUGGACCCACACUCUAGGGCCUGGCCAACAGGAUUAGGCUGCAGAGCACCCCAGAAGGAUGACACAGCCACUUACCUGGGCAGGAACACGUCCAUUCUGGCUCGCCUGAGGCUGGAGGUCCAGAUGUGGAUGAUGCUGGCUGUGAGGUGUGGCUCAACGUGGCUCAGCGGGGUGUCUUUGUCACGCGGCAGAACCAAGAGCAGACUCACUGUGUUUCCCAGGGCCUUAGAUCCGUUCCCACAACUGCAUGUCAUAAGUCUGAGGGACAUUCAGAUGUGGCCUCUUUCAGAACUAUGCUAUCGAUUCGAGGAACACAGAGGAAAGGAGGAAAUCUGGAGCUGGAGCAGGGCCUCUCGCCCACUGGGGCCGCUGCACCCUGGUAGAGGCGAAGCGCAAGCUCGGUCUUCAGCAAGGUCAGGUCCUCACGGAGGUCGCCCUGUCCUCCACGGAGCCAGGUGUGAAGCAGGAAGAGCGUGAACAGGGCCGGCUGCAUGGAGGCAGGGAAUCUUCCUGCAGUGUAGACGGAAGAGACCAGGGUGAGGCAGAAAGUCCCACCCCGCAGAGAACUGGUCUGUGUUCAGGACUGGCGAUGGCCGAGGGAGGUGUGCCCGCAGCACCCCCUCCCUCCCUGCCUACCAACCCCGGCCCACCCGCCCCCCGCUCCUCUACUGCAUCCUGUUGUGUCCGCAUUAGAAAUAUGGGCCGGGAGGCUACACUGUGAGCUGAGGCUUUGUCGUCACUUACUAAAUAUAUGACCUUGGGCAAGGUCCUGGUCUGGUCAGAAGCAAACCAUUGAGUUGGAGAAGACAUGUAAGAAGUACACUUGACUCAUAUUUCGUGGCAUUUAGCCAGCUUGUAGCUGUGCCAUACCUAUUAUGUAUAAUGAUCAUCAACAAAAAUAAAAAAAUAUACAGUAUGUU